rnacentral:rRNA from 1 species
UCCUGGUGCCUAUGGUGCAGUGGAACCACUCUGAUUCCAUCCCGAACUCAGUUGUGAAACGCUGCUACGGCUACGAUAGUCUAGGGGUUGCCCUAUGCCACAAUCGCUCGGUGCCAGGUU